UUGGACGGGGCCCGCACAAGCGGUGGAGCAUGUGGUUUAAUUCGAAGCAACGCGAAGAACCUUACCAGGUCUUGACAUCCCUGACAACCCGAGAGAUCGGGCGUUCCCCGUUCGGGGGACAGGGUGACAGGUGGUGCAUGGUUGUCGUCAGCUCGUGUCGUGAGAUGUUGGGUUAAGUCCCGCAACGAGCGCAAACCCUUAUCCUUUGUUGCCAGCGGUCCGGCCGGGAACUCAAAGGAGACUGCCAGUGAUAAACUGGAGGAAGGUGGGAUGACGUCAAGUCAUCAUGGCCCUUACGAGUAGGGCUACACACGUGCUACAAUGGCGCAUACAAAGAGAAGCGAACUCGCGAGAGCAAGCGGACCUCAUAAAGUGCGUCGUAGUCCGGAUUGGAGUCUGCAACUCGACUCCAUGAAGUCGGAAUCGCUAGUAAUCGUAGAUCAGAAUGCUACGGUGAAUACGUUCCCGGGCCUU
rnacentral:rRNA from 1 species